CAAUACGGGACUCUUUCGAGGCCCCGUAAUUGGAAUGAGUACACUUUAAACCCUUUAACGAGGAUCUAUUGGAGGGCAAGUCUGGUGCCAGCAGCCGCGGUAAUUCCAGCUCCAAUAGCGUAUAUUAAAGUUGUUGCAGUUAAAAAGCUCGUAGUUGGAUCUCGGGUCCAGGCUGGCGGUCCGGCGCAUGCCGGUUACUGCUUGUCCUGACCUACCUCCCGGUCGCGCCCUUGGUGCUCUUGAUUGAGUGUCUCGGGUCGCCGGAACGUUUACUUUGAAAAAAUUAGAGUGUUCAAAGCAGGCAAUUCGCCUGAAUAAUGGUGCAUGGAAUAAUGGAAUAGGACCUCGGUUCUAUUUUGCUGGUUUUCGGAGCUCGAGGUAAUGAUUAAGAGGGACUGACGGGGGCAUUCGUAUUACGGUGUUAGAGGUGAAAUUCUUGGAUCGCCGUAAGACGAACCGCUGCGAAAGCGUUUGCCAAGAAUGUUUUCAUUAGUCAAGAACGAAAGUCAGAGGUUCGAAGACGAUCAGAUACCGUCGUAGUUCUGACCAUAAACGAUGCCAACUAGCGAUCCGCCGGAGUUGCUUCAAUGACUCGGCGGGCAGCCCCCGGGAAACCAAAGUUUUUGGGUUCCGGGGGAAGUAUGGUUGCAAAGCUGAAACUUAAAGGAAUUGACG
rnacentral:rRNA from 1 species